GAUGUGGGCUCUUCCUGUGAGCUCAGCCUAGUCACAAAUAUUGCCGCUACAUGUGCAGAAUCAAACAAGAACAGCAUAAUACAGCGUAGCUUGCACAUCUCUUUCAUAGGGGAUAUCUUCACGACGGAGAUGUUAUCUAAAUAGGGAGGGUUUCUGUUGUGUUUUGUUUUAGUUUCAGUAACAUUCCAGUCAAUAAGGUGUAGCCACCUUAUUGACAGGACGAGUGUACCCUCCAUGCAUUAUUAAGAUCUACUUUGAUGGCACAGAAUCCUCCCCUGUACAGAAAUGCUGGUUGUAGGGACUAAUCAGACCAUUUUUGUGUGUUCUCAUCAGACUCUUUGUUUGGCUGGAACUCUGCACUCCUUACUGCUUGCAUGUUUACUAAUUUAUUAUUAAAACCCCCGUAUUUGCCUUUGUUCUUUCACAACUAACACACUGGCCUCUGAAUGCAUGAGUUUUGUGUGAACUGGUGUGUGACUUAGCAACUAAUAAAUGUAUCAGUUGUAUUAUAUUUUCAGAUCUUAAAAAUAUAACUGGAAUUACUGUACUAAAACAUUUUUUACAUUAAGUGAUAAAAAUAAGGCAGAAUAUUAAUAUGUUGUACACUUAAUAUACCAUUAUGAGCUCUUAGAAUCAUUUUAUCCCUUCUCCAUUUUAGCUUUUUAUCUAUUUGUGUAGGAAAUGUCAUUAUUGGCUUUCUAGUUGAAGAGUCUGAUUCUGUGUGCUAACAUGUGAACAGUCCAUUGCAGUUAUGACAUUAGGAAGGUAAAAUUCCAGCAUUCCAGUGUUGUGAAGGACAGAGAAUCUCCCCAUAGCUAAACCUUUGCACUAGUGGCCUGUGAAAAUAGGAAUCAGAGGGUUUGUUCUGAACCCACUUUUCAGAUAUUUGAAAAAGAUGUUAGGCAAUCACAUAAUAUUUAUGUCAUGUGUUCUCAACGUCUCAGGACUCUGUCUCCUGCCAAGUCUCCCUCUUCAUCAACUGGGUCUAUUGCCUCCAGCAGAAAAUACCCAUACCCAAUGCCUCCACUUCCUGACGAAGAGAAGAAAGUGAACCGACAAAGUGCCAGGCUAUGGGAGACCUCCAUUUAAGAUCCACUGUUUACAUGUGAUACAUCAAAACUGUUUACUUCAACUUUUAUAGAAACCCAGCCUCACGGAAUCACUGCAAAUCUAUCUGCUCUUCAGACAAUACAAAGACCCUCUGAGAUGCCCCAGAGGAGAGGAAGCCGAGUCUCACAUCUGGGUACCAUUUUCUUUUUGUCAUUGGCUUAGGAUCUAAGUGAACCCUGGAAAGAACUACUGAAAUGCUACACUAUAACAGGGGAACAAUAAACAUACUGGUAUGCUCCUGGAUAAUCCGCAUGACAGAUAUAUGUAGAAAUAUCACUAAAGUUAACUCACAUGACCCAAAUGUGGCAAGUUUCCUAAGGGACAAUAGUGGAUUCAGAACUGACAUUCUGAAGCACAUCCUAAUUGUAGACAGUAAUGCUAUGUGCAUGAAACUUCUGUUUAUUGCAAUUUCCACAUUUAAGGAAACAACAUCCCCUAAUAGAAACUAGCAUGCAGGGCUAAGGCAUCUAGGAUUUGUCUGCAGGACUUUAAAGCUUUGAGAGGCCAAUAUCCAAUAUGCUAACUCUGAACAUGUAUCUUAAUUAUUUUUUUUUUUUUACUUUUCAUAUUUAUAUCAGCAUACAAGGAGAAUUGUACAUAUGUAAACAUUUUUAAAAUAAAAGAAAGCAGCUGUUACACACAAGUAUAUUUUGCCAAAUGCCUAAAAAUAGUCACAGCCACAUCAUCAUCAUCCAUCAGAUGGUCUCUAAAGAUGAUAAGCAGGUGAGGUUGUAAAUAUAGUGGUCAAUGCAUAAAAGUGUCUCUCCAUCAUUGGUAUGCGUCCAAACCAUGUGAUAUCCCUUUAAACUGUGCACAGUCUGGAGGCAGUGUUAUUGAGUAAUUAGUUGAACCAGAGAACAAAAUGCCCAGCCUGCACAGCUGGCUGGGGCAGGGGUUGAGGGGUGAGGCUCCUCUCCUGCCCGCCUCCAGGCACUCCGAUGCUGAUGGCCACUCCCUGGGACUCCUGCAGCCUGCCCCCGUUCUCCUUCCGGGGGCGACAGUGCCUGCCGCAGCAGCUGUUAGCUUGCAGUGCCAGAGGCCUGCUGGUUUCACCCUGGAGGCCUGUGAGCCCCUCGGCAGCACAUCCUGCUGAGAUGAAGCAAGUGCACCAAAGACACGAGACCAUGGGCCACCGAUACCCUGGUAGCUUCCAACUUGCCAAUACUCCAGCCCUUUGUGGCCUAAAUUUUUGUUCUUUGACAAAACUUUUUAGCCACCCUUACCUGUAAAAUGAAUGACUUGUUUUAAUACAACCAACUUUUACACUGUUUAUUAAGGAGCUUUAUCAUCAGUGAGUCCGGCAGGUCAUUCCGCCCUGAUGUGGAAGCAAGAUGGUGGAGGGUUCUACCGGCUGGGCUGGGAAGCCUCUCCGGGCCAUUGAACGUUUGAAGAAUCCUAACACAUAAGUGUGCAGCAACUGUGAAGUUACCCCAGCAGUUGGCAGGGAAAGGAGUCUGAGGUUUUGAACUCUUAUUUUUUUUUAAUUCCUAGAAAAGUAAGAAGUCUAUGUUCAAGUCCCUUCUUUAAAGCCAAAGUUCGAUAAGCUGUUAUAAUGCAGCUCUGUCAUUCUAAAAGAAAACUUCCCUGGGGAGGCUACUCUAGUGAACUCAGAAAUUGCUGGGAAUCAGUCUGACGCUUUGAUGUGAAGAGUACUUCUGAAUUUCCUCAUUUUCUCUCCUUUUUCUUGAGAGGAAUGGAAUCUGCAGACAAGAUUUCAGAAAUAUCCUCUAAAUUGGAUCUCUCCCAGUCGUGUCCAUGGUCAAAAUCCACUUCAUCUCCAUGUGUAGUCAUCUUAGAUGCCCGAACUGAAGGGCCAUGUUAGAGGCAGUGUUUGAUCCUCUAUGUAUUUAUGUCUUCUGUAAUGGACCUCUCUUCUGAAAGUCUUUAAAAACGUUUGACAAGCAAUUUAAUCACUUGAAACUAUAAAGCAUAAAGAGCAUUUUUCAUGGCAGGAGGGGAUGUGAUCAUCGAUUCUACAAUAAAAUGAUCCAUCAGAUUAAGAUUUGGGUGAGUGUCGGGUGACCAUGCCACAUAGCUCAAGUGAGGGACAGGAGGGCAGACAGAUUUGAAAAUGUAGCAAAUAAAGUGGCUUUGACCAAGAUCACUUUCAUGUGCACUGAAUGUUUUCUGGUAUUGAGUGUAUAAAAUGCUAAUGUUAUAAGGUUUAUUUUGACUAUAAAAGAGUUUAUAGAUUUGAAUGUAAGGUACUUUGUGUAAAUAUGCUUCUUAGUUACGGUUACACAAACCCUCAUUUGAAAGAAUUCACAAAUGGUGAGCUACUUGUCCACAGAUCCCCUCACCCCCCCUUUCCUUGCUUUCUCAAUUAUUUUUACAUGAAAAUUAUUAUUCCGAGUGAAAAUUAUUGUUACAUCCCUUUUGAGAGACAUGGGUGCUUAUAGUCAUCCUCCUUGAUAUUAACGUUCAUAUGGAACUGAAUGAAAAGCAUUUGUUUUAUUUGCAGGGAGAUUAUGGUUUUAGAGUAGCUUUAAUGUUCUGGGUAUCUGUCGAAGAAUGUUUGAACAUUCUUACAGCCAUUUGCAGAAUUCUUUGACAAGUUCAUAAUCUCAAUGGGUAGUUUUGAGAAAUACUUCCAUGUGUAGUCAUGGUUGGUAUUUAGAUGUAUUAAAUCUAAAUAUUUGUGACUUUUCAUCCACCGAGGCAGGGAAAAUGGACCUAAGGCACCAAACAGAAGCACAGCAUUAUUAUUUUUUUAUUAUCUCUUUUGGAGAGGAACUUUGAGGUCACCAUUGCAGUUUGUAUUCAACUAAUAUUUAUAGCCCCCAGACAACUAUAGGACCAUUCUACUAAGCAGAGGAGAGCAGUUAUUUGGCCUUUCUGUUCCAUUGUAUGCCUUUUUCUUCUCUUUCUAAAGUUGUGUGCUUAGAGAAAACUUCAGAUUAACAACCUGCUGUCUGAGAUGUUCCGUUUGUCCAUAGACAUUGCAGAAGAGCAAACUCGGAUUUAAAGCAACAUUGAAAUCUCUAUAUUAAGAAUGCCAAAAAGGGGGUUGGGGGGAAGAGGGAGCCCUUGAAGGAACAAACGGGUCAGACUGACUGGUCUGUGUCCAGCCAACUCUUUCUUUAGUCAGGAAGUGGCAUCCUCCUCUGUAGUCUCCCAACUGGAAAGUGAUCCCCCGGUCACCUGCAAAUCUGUGGAAAGGAGUAAACUCAAACAGUGCAGCAUAGCGAGAGUUUUCAAUUUAGUGUCGUUGCUCUAUAAGAAACCCAGUGAUGUUCCUUAAAAAAAAAUUGACUAAUAAAGUAAAUGUAGGGUUAAAUUGCCAAACAUACUUUUUAGUUUGAGAUAGGUGCUUUAUGAAGUGGUACUACAGUUUCUCUCAUUUUCCCCUUGCUUUAAAAAGGCUUUUAAAAUUGUCUUCAUAUAUAAAGUCAGUCUAGUGUAGAUUUCUGAACAUAAGAUUGAUAGGGUUUCUAAAAGAAGUCGCUGAUAAAAUUAGAUCUUUUGUGCACUUCCAAAAAGGGACUAUAUAUAUUUGAAUUUCAUAACAGCCUUACAUUUCUUUUUUUUUUUUCCAUUGAUUCCCUUGCAGAUUUGCAUAAUUUAUUCCUGCCCAUUGUUCCAGAUCUCUUGUGGCUACUUUUCCUUUUGCUUUUUUAGAUUUUGUUCUUUACUUCUUAUAAUUACCUGUGGGCCAGAGGAAAUACGGUAUUUUUACUCACUUUAAGUGUUUUGAAAUCAAGCUUGUUUAUUUAUUUCAUCCAUCCUUCAUUUCCUGUUGUCAUGUAGUUCUGUUUUAACCUAUAUAUUUAGUGUUUUUAAAUAUUCCCUUGUGUUGUUCAACAUGAUAAUAAAUCCUUACCUGAA